rnacentral:rRNA from 1 species
UACGUAGGGACCAAGCGUUGUUCGGAUUUACUGGGCGUAAAGGGCGCGUAGGCGGCGUGACAAGUCACUUGUGAAAUCUCCGGGCUUAACUCGGAACGGCCAAGUGAUACUGUCAUGCUAGAGUGCAGAAAGGGCAAUCGGAAUUCUUGGUGUAGCGGUGAAAUGCGUAGAUAUCAAGAGGAACACCUGAGGCGAAGACGGGUUGCUGGGCUGACACUGACGCUGAUGCGCGAAAGCCAGGGGAGCGAACGGG